GAGUUUGAUCGUGGCUCAGAACGAACGCUGGCGGCAUGCCUAACACAUGCAAGUCGAACGAGACCUUCGGGUCUAGUGGCGCACGGGUGCGUAACGCGUGGGAAUCUGCCCUUGGGUUCGGAAUAACAGUUAGAAAUGACUGCUAAUACCGGAUGAUGUCUUCGGACCAAAGAUUUAUCGCCCAGGGAUGAGCCCGCGUCGGAUUAGCUAGUUGGUGAGGUAAAGGCUCACCAAGGCGACGAUCCGUAGCUGGUCUGGGAGGAUGAUCAGCCACACUGGGACUGAGACACGGCCCAGACUCCUACGGGAGGCAGCAGUGGGGAAUAUUGGACAAUGGGCGAAAGCCUGAUCCAGCAAUGCCGCGUGAGUGAUGAAGGCCUUAGGGUUGUAAAGCUCUUUUACCCGGGAUGAUAAUGACAGUACCGGAGAAUAAGCCCCGGCUAACUCCGUGCCAGCAGCCGCGGUAAG
rnacentral:rRNA from 2 species